CGCCUGGGAGGCGCGAGCCUACGGAAAGUGCCACAGAAAAUAACCGCCUAAGCACUUCGGUGCCGGUAAGGGUGAAAAGGUGCGGUAAGAGCGCACCGCGCGGCUGGCAACAGUCCGUGGCUAGGUAAACCCCACUUGGAGCAAGACCAAAUAGGGAUCCAUCGGCGUGGCCCGCGCUGGAUCCGGGUAGGUUGCUAGAGGCAGUCAGCGAUGGCUGUCGUAGAGGAAUGGCUGUCCUCGACAGAACCCGGCUUA
rnacentral:misc_RNA from 1 species